ACUCCUACGGGAGGCAGCAGUGGGGAAUAUUGCACAAUGGGGGAAACCCUGAUGCAGCGACGCCGCGUGGAGGAAGAAGGUCUUCGGAUUGUAAACUCCUGUUGUUGAGGAAGAUAAUGACGGUACUCAACAAGGAAGUGACGGCUAACUACGUGCCAGCAGCCGCGGUAAAACGUAGGUCACAAGCGUUGUCCGGAAUUACUGGGUGUAAAGGGAGCGCAGGCGGGAAGACAAGUUGGAAGUGAAAACCAUGGGCUCAACCCAUGAAUUGCUUUCAAAACUGUUUUUCUUGAGUAGUGCAGAGGUAGAUGGAAUUCCCGGUGUAGCGGUGGAAUGCGUAGAUAUCGGGAGGAACACCAGUGGCGAAGGCGGCCUACUGGGCACCAACUGACGCUGAGGCUCGAAAGUGUGGGUAGCAAACAGGAUUAGAUACCCUGGUAGUCCACACCGUAAACGAUGAUUACUAGGUGUUGGAGGAUUGACCCCUUCAGUGCCGCAGUUAACACAAUAAGUAAUCCACCUGGGGAGUACGACCGCAAGGUUGAAACUCAAAGGAAUUGACGGGGGCCCGCACAAGCAGUGGAGUAUGUGGUUUAAUUCGAAGCAACGCGAAGAACCUUACCAGGUCUUGACAUCCGAUGCAUAGCACAGAGAUGUGUGAAAUCCUUCGGGACAUCGAGACAGGUGGUGCAUGGUUGUCGUCAGCUCGUGUCGUGAGAUGUUGGGUUAAGUCC
rnacentral:rRNA from 1 species